GUGAGAGCUCGAACUGCCCGAAUGUUCCUGAGCCGAAUCGAGAUUUUGUUAGAGAAAUAGCAAAGCGUGGGAUUCUCUUCACUGCAAUUGUCUACGGUGUGCUGGUUGUUGGCUGUAAAAAUGUUUUGGCAACAGAGGGUGUGGUUAGUUUCGGCAAGGAUAUUGUUGGGCAGGGGAUAUUGGCGUUUAGAAAUGCAUGGCCAAAGGCAUUGC
rnacentral:misc_RNA from 1 species